GAUGAACGCUGGCGGCGUGCUUAACACAUGCAAGUCGGACGAAGCACUUAAGAUUGAUUCUUCGGAUGACGUCUUUUGUGACUUAGUGGCGGACGGGUGAGUAACGCGUGGGUAACCUGCCUCACACAGGGGGAUAACAGUUAGAAAUGACUGCUAAUACCGCAUAACCCGAUAGGAUCGCAUGAUCCAGACGGAAAAGAUUUAUCGGUGUGAGAUGGACCCGCGUCUGAUUAGCUGGUUGGUGAGAUAACGGCCCACCAAGGCAACGAUCAGUAGCCGGCCUGAGAGGGUGAACGGCCACAUUGGGACUGAGACAC
rnacentral:rRNA from 1 species